rnacentral:rRNA from 1 species
AGGACGAACGCUGGCGGCGUGCCUAACACAUGCAAGUCGAGCGGUAACAGGUGUAGCAAUACAUGCUGACGAGCGGCGAACGGGUGAGUAAUGCUUUGGAAUCUUCCCAGUAGUGGGGAAUAACCAGUCGAAAGAUUGGCUAAUACCGCAUACGUCUGUAAAGGGAAAGCGGGGGCUCGUAAGACCUCGCGCUAUUGGAUGAGCCAAAGUCGGAUUAGCUAGUUGGUGGGGUAAUGGCCUACCAAGGCGACAAUCCGUAGCUGGUCUGAGAGGACGACCAGCCACACCGGAACUGAGACACGGUCCGGACUCCUACGGGAGGCAGCAGUGGGGGAAUAUUGGACAAUGGGGGAAACCCUGAUCCAGCGACGCCGCGUGUGUGAAGAAGGCCUGCGGGUUGUAAAGCACUUUUAGUGGGGACAAAAAGCUACGGAUUAAUACUCUGUGGUCUUGAUUUAACCCAAGAAAAGCACCGGCUAACUCUGCGCCAGCAGCCGC